rnacentral:rRNA from 1 species
UCUGGUUGAUCCUGCCAGAGGCCACUGCUAUCGGAGUUUGAUUAAGUUAUGUGAGUUGAGAGGUGUAAGACCUUGGUAUAUUGUUUAGUAACACGUGGAUAACCUACCCUAAGGAGGGGGAUAAUCCUGGGAAAUUGGGGAUAAUACCCCAUAGAUUAUGGAAGCUGGAAUGCUCUGUAGUCAAAAGGUUUGUCGCCUUAGGAUGGGUCUGCGGCCGAUUAGGUUGUUGUUGGGGUAAUGGCCCAACAAGCCUGUAAUCGGUACGGGUUGUGGGAGUAAGAGCCCGGAGAUGGAUUUUGAGAUAUGAAUCCAGGUUUUAUGGGGUGUAGUAGGUGUGAAAAUUUUAUAAUGUGGGAAAUUGUGAUAAGGGAACUCCGAGUGCCCGUUAAAUCGGGCUGUUCACCAGUUUAAAUAACUGGUGAAGAAAGGGCCGGGUAAGAUUGGUGUUAGUUGUUGUGGUAAUACCGGCGGCUCGAGUGGUGGCCACUAUUACUGGGCUUAAAGCGUUCGUAGCUGGUUUGUUAAGUCUCUGGGGAAAUCUACCGGUUUAACCGGUAGGCGUCUCAGGGAUACUGGCAGACUAGGGACCGGGACAGGUGAGGGGUACUCCAGGGGUAGGAGUGAAAUCCUGUAAUCCUUGGGGGACCACCUGUGGUGAAGGCGCCUCACCAGAACGGCUCCGACAGUGAGGGACGAAAGCUGGGGGAGUAAAUUGGAUUAGAUAUCCGGGUAGUCCCAGCUGUAAACGAUGCGCGUUAGGUGUAUCGGUGACCACGAGUCACCGAGGUGCCGAAGAGAAAUCGUGAAACGUGCCGCCUGGGAAGUACGGUCGUAAGGCUGAAACUUAAAGGAAUUGGCGGGGGAGCACCACAACGGGUGGAGCCUGCGGUUUAAUUGGAUCUAAUGUUGGGAAAUUUACCGGACAAGAUAGUUGAAUGAUAGUUGGGUUGAAGAUUUUACUUGAUUAGUUGAGAGGAGGUGCAUGGCCGUUGUUAGUUUGUAUUGUGAAGUAUUUUGUUAAGUUAGGUAAUGAGUGAGACCCACGCCAACAGUUGUUAGUUUGUUUUAUGGGAUGGAGAGGACACUGUUGGGACCGCCUUUGUUAAAGAGGAGGAAGGAAUGGGUAACGGUAGGUCAGCAUGUCCUGAAUUGUCCGGGUUAUACGCGGGCUACAAUGGGUGGGAUAAUGGGUAUUGAUACCGAAAGGUGAAGGUAAUUUCCUAAACCCAUCCUUAGUUUGGAUUGUGGGUUGUAAUUUGCCCACAUGAAGC